CCUCUGCAUCUCCUGGAGCUGUGCCUGGGCCAGGACCCAGCUCUGGCUCAGCGAGGCUCCAUCAGCUGCUGGCAGGGGACACCUGAAAUCCCAGGGCAGGAAAUUUCCGUCUGCUCCACGAGCUCCUUGCCCAGCGGCUCCACAUGGUUUCGUUUUCCUCGCAGCACCAAUAAAUCUUUAAUGCAGCAUUCCACGAACCUUCCCCAGCUGAUGAAGCACAGAGUGAUCCGGGGGGGCUGUCUGGGCCCACAUGGUGUGUGCUGUGAACAAGGACCCCCAGGAUCUUUGCAGUGAAGGGAGGAUGAAAUUUAUAUCAUCCCAGUGAACUGAUCCUCUUAUCUGCAUUGUCUGCUCAGCAUCUAAUGAACUAAUGAAAUAUGCAACAAUUCAGCUCUAGAACAGACCUCGCUUUUAAAUUAGCACUAAUUAGAGAUAAUUAUCUUGGCUGGUUUGAUGUUUCUGUGUAAUG